AGAUAAAGAUUUAACCUGUCAGACACUUUUAUAAAUAAACAAUAGAAUUUAAUUUAAAAUAUCAUAAACAUUUAAUAUGAAUUUAGAGCUUUUGGAAUCAUUUGGACAAAAUUAUCCAGAGGAAUUUGAUGGAACGCUUGAUUGUAUUUCGCUGGCAGUAACGUGUACAUUCAACAAAAGAGGUACAUUGUUAGCCGUAGGCUGUAAUGAUGGUAGAAUAGUAAUAUGGGAUUUUUUAACUCGCGGAAUUGCCAAAAUAAUAAGCGCUCAUGUACAUCCUGUUUGUUCACUCAGUUGGUCAAGAAACGGACACAAAUUGCUGAGUGCAUCGACAGACAACAAUGUUUGUAUAUGGGAUGUAUUAUCAGGAGAAUGCGAUCAAAAAUACCGUUUUCCAUCACCGAUAUUAAAAGUACAAUUUCACCCGAGAAAUUCAAAUAAAUUUUUGGUCUGUCCGAUGCGACAUGCUGCUGUAAUGGUGGAUGUUGAAGGUACACAUCGUGUUAUUCCCCUAGAUGAAGAUAGUGAUUUAAAUAUCGUCGCGUCUUUUGAUAGACGAGGAAGUUUUGUGUACACAGGAAACGCCCGUGGCAGAAUUCUCGUUCUUGAUUCCGAGACAUUAACUAUAAAAGCUUCUUAUAAAAUAUCUCAGGGUACUGCUAGCAACACCGCGGUUAAGAGUAUUGAAUUUGCGCGCCGUGGGUCAUGCUUUCUUGUCAAUACUUCCGACCGAGUGAUACGUGUAUACGACAGCACGGAGAUACUUGCUUGUGGGAAGGACGGGGAGCCGGAGCCGAUACAAAAAUUGCAGGAUUUGGUUAACAAAACAAUGUGGAAAAAAUGCUGCUUUUCAGGCGACGGCGAGUACGUUUGCGCUGGCUCUGCUAGACAACAUGCACUUUAUAUUUGGGAAAAAAGUAUCGGUAAUUUAGUUAAAAUAUUGCACGGAACUAAAGGAGAGCUUUUGCUGGAUGUUGUGUGGCAUCCAGUGAGACCUAUAAUAGCAUCAAUAUCCUCCGGAGUGGUGUCUAUUUGGGCACAGAAUCAAGUUGAAAAUUGGUCCGCGUUCGCCCCAGAUUUCAAGGAAUUGGACGAGAACGUCGAGUACGAGGAGAGAGAAAGCGAAUUUGACUUGAGUGAUGAAGAUAAAUCUGUCGUACAGGGCGAAGAGGCUCAGGAUGAAGAAAUCGAAGUUGACGUCGCAGCUAUUGACAGAGUCGCGGCUUUUUGCAGCUCCGAUGAAGAAACUGAAGAUAUUGGUACAUUGCAAUAUUUGCCGAUAGCCCCCGAGGUUGAAGAACCAGAAGAUCAAGCUGCUGCACAAGAACCACCCAACAAAAAAUAUCGAUCCCAUGAUAUUCAUUUGCAGAAUCCACCUGAGAACGAAACACAUCCAUUAUUAAAUAAAGGAAAAGAUAAACCUGCUGCUAAAAAAGGACGUCCACGACUUGAACAUCGUAAAGGAAAAUAAUUUUUUUUUUUUUUUUUUUUUUUUUCUUUUAAUCAGUAUCAAUUAACAUUGUUCCAUCUAUGUGACUUGAUUUACUGAUAAGUUUUAUAAAAACUAGAGACCGAAGCAGGUGCUGCCGCGCGACAGAAUGUGGCGAGUUUAUGUACCUAAGGGAUAAUGAUUUUGUUUUUAAAAUCUCAAGUCGUUCAAAGGUUAUGUUAUGCUGUGUAAUUUAUAUAUAUAUCCAUGUCAAAUAAGCAAAGACAGAUAAUAUAUAACUGAAUCCAAUAUCUUAUCGACUUGAAGAUUCAGUUGAAAUUUUAUAAAUAACAGAUAGAGUUUCAGUAAAAA